AUUGAACGCUGGCGGCAGGCCUAACACAUGCAAGUCGAGCGGAUGAAGGGAGCUUGCUCCUGGAUUCAGCGGCGGACGGGUGAGUAAUGCCUAGGAAUCUGCCUGGUAGUGGGGGAUAACGUCCGGAAACGGGCGCUAAUACCGCAUACGUCCUGAGGGAGAAAGUGGGGGAUCUUCGGACCUCACGCUAUCAGAUGAGCCUAGGUCGGAUUAGCUAGUUGGUGGGGUAAAGGCCUACCAAGGCGACGAUCCGUAACUGGUCUGAGAGGAUGAUCAGUCACACUGGAACUGAGAAACGGUCCAGACUCCGACGGGAGGCAGCAGUGGGGAAUAUUGGAAAAUGGGCGAAAGACUGAUCCAGACAUGCCGCGUGUGUGAAGAAGGUCUUCGGAUUGUAAAGCACUUUAAGUUGGGAGGAAGGGCAGUAAGUUAAUACCUUGCUGUUUUGACGUUACCAACAGAAUAAGCACCGGCUAACUUCGU
rnacentral:rRNA from 1 species